GACGAACGCUGGCGGCGUGCUUAACACAUGCAAGUCGAACGAAGAGCGAUGGAAGCUUGCUUCUACCAAUCUUAGUGGCGAACGGGUGAGUAACGCGUAAUCAACCUGCUCUUCAGUGGGGGACAACAGGUGGAAAUGAUAGCGAAUGCCGCAUACGAUUUGACCUCGGCAUCGAGGAUAGAUGAAAGGUGGCCUCUAUUCAUAAGCGAUCACUGAAGGUGGGGAUUGCGUCUGGUUAGCUUGGUGGAGGGGUAAAGGCCCACCAAGGCGAUGAUCAGGAGCCGGUCUGGGGGGAUGAACCGCCACAUUGGGACUGGGACACGGCCCAGGCUCCUACGGGGAGCAGCCGUGGGGAAUCUUCCGCAAUGGGCGGCAGUCUGACGGAGCAACGCCGCGUGAGUGAUGACGGCCUUCGGGUUGUAAAGCUCUGUUUAUCGGGGCGAAAGGCCUUCUUGCGAAUAGUUAGAAGGAUUGACGGUACCGGAAGAGAAAGCCACGGCUAACUACGUG
rnacentral:rRNA from 1 species